rnacentral:rRNA from 1 species
AAUAGAUACCCCGGUAGUCCACGCCGUAAACGAUGUCGACUUGGAGGUUGUGCCCUUGAGGCGUGGCUUCCGGAGCUAACGCGUUAAGUCGACCGCCUGGGGAGUACGGCCGCAAGGUUAAAACUCAAAUGAAUUGACGGGGGGCCCGCACAAGCGGUGGAGCAUGUGGUUUAAUUCGAUGCAACGCGAAGAACCUUACCUACUCUUGACAUCCAGAGAACUUGGCAGAGAUGCUUUGGUGCCUUCGGGAACUCUGAGACAGGUGCUGCAUGGCUGUCGUCAGCUCGUGUUGUGAAGUGUUGGGUUAAGUCCCGCAACGAGCGCAACCCUUAUCCUUUGUUGCCAGCGGUCCGGCCGGGAACUCAAAGGAGACUGCCAGUGAUAAACUGGAGGAAGGUGGGGAUGACGUCAAGUCAUCAUGGCCCUUACGAGUAGGGCUACACACGUGCUACAAUGGCGCAUACAAAGAGAAGCGACCUCGCGAGAGCAAGCGGACCUCAUAAAGUGCGUCGUAGUCCGGA